AAGCACAGAGGUUUGGUCCUGGUCUUACUGUUAAUUUUUAUUAGACCUACACAUGCAAGUUUCCGCAACCCAGUGAGUAUGCCCUUUUAACUUCAUUAGAGUAUAAAGGAGCUGGUAUCAGGCACACUUAAACAAGCAGCCCAUGACACCUUGUUCAACCACACCCCCACGGGUUACAGCAGUGACUAACGUUGAGCUAUAAACGAAAGUUUGACUAAAUCAUAAUACAACAAGGGUUGGUAAAUCUCGUGCCAGUCACCGCGGUCAUACGAUUAACCCGAAUUAACAGAAAAACGGUGUAAAGGGUGUUUAAGCAUAUAACCAAUCAAAUAAAGUUAAAACUCAACUAUGCUGUAAUACGCCCUAGUUGAUAUUAAAAUACGCAACUUACGUGACUUUACCAAUGCUGAAGACACUAAAGCUAAGGUACAAACUGGGAUUAGAGACCCCACUAUGCUUAGCCGUAAACCUAGGUAAUUAAACAACAAAAUUACUCGCCAGAGAACUACUAGCAACUGCUUAAAACUCAAAGGACUUGGCGGUGCCCUAGACCCUCCUAGAGGAGCCUGUUCUAUAAUCGAUAAACCCCGAUACACCUCACCCCUUCUUGCUCAACAGUCUAUAUACCGCCAUCGUCAGCUCACCCCAAUAGGGCUCCAAAGUGAGCAAAAUCAUCAAACCAUAAAAACGUUAGGUCAAGGUGUAGCAU
rnacentral:ncRNA from 1 species